rnacentral:rRNA from 1 species
CCUACGGGUGGCUGCAGUGGGGAAUAUUGGGCAAUGGGCACAAGCCUGAUCCAGCAACGCCGCGUGAAGGAAGAAGGCUUUCGGGUUGUAAACUUCUUUUAUUGAGGACGAAACAAAUGCCGGUACUCAAUUAAUAAGCCACGGUUAACUACGUGCCAACAGCCGCCGUAAUACGUAGGUGGCAAGCGUUAUCCGGAUUUACUGGGUGUAAAGGGCGUGUAGGCGGGACUACAAGCCGGGUGUGAAAACCAUGGGCUCAAACCAGGGUCUGCAUUGGAGACUGUAGGUCUUGAGUGAGGGAGAGGCAGGCGGAAUUCCGGGUGUAGCGGUGGAAUGCGUAGAUAUAGGGAGGAACACCAGUGGCGAAGGCGGCCUGCUGGACAGUAACUGACGCUGAGGCGCGAAAGCGUGGGGAGCAAACAGGAUUAGAUACCCGAGUAGUC